rnacentral:rRNA from 1 species
UACGUAGGUGGCAAGCGUUGUCCGGAUUUACUGGGCGUAAAGAGCGCGCAGGCGGUUGAUUAAGUCGAAUGUGAAAGCCCCCGGCUCAACUGGGGAGGGUCAUUCGAUACUGAUCGACUUGAAGGCAGGAGAGGGAAGUGGAAUUCCGGGUGUAGUGGUGAAAUGCGUAGAUAUCGUGGGGAAUGCCAAAGGCGAAGGCAUGUAACUGGAACACUGCUGACGCUCAUGCACGAAAGCGUGGGGAGCAAAAAGG